CCCCUCCUCCCUCAGACCCAGGGUACAGGCCCCCAGCCCCUCCUCCCUCAGACCCCAGGAGUCCAGACCCCCCAGCCCCUCCUCCCUCAGACCCAGGAGUCCAGCUCCUCCUCCCUCAGACUCAGAAGUCCAGGCCCCCAACCCCUCCUUCCCCAGACCCAGAGGUCCAGGUCCCAGCCCCUCCUCCCUCAGACCCAGUGGUCCAAUGCCAGCUAGACUCUCCCUGUACACAGUGCCCCCUUGUGGCACGUUGACCCAACCUUACCAGUUGGUUUUUCAUUUUUUGUCCCUUUCCCCUAGAUCCAGAAAUAAAGUCUAAGAGAAGCG
rnacentral:sRNA from 1 species